GAUGAAGAACGCAGCGAAAUGCGAUACGUAAUGUGAAUUGCAGAUUUCAGUGAAUCAUCGAAUCUUUGAACGCACAUUGCGCCCGCUAGUAUUCUGGCGGGCAUGCCUGUUCGAGCGUCAUUUCAACCAUCAAGCCCUAGGCUUGCGUUGGAGCCCUGCGGCUGCCGCAGGCUCCCAAAUCCAGUGGCGGGCUCGUCGUCGUACCGAGUGCAGUAAACAUCCUCGCUCAGGGAACGUGACGGGUUCUUGCCGUGAAACCCCCCACAUAUCAAGGUUGACCUCGGAUCAGGUAGGAAUACCCGCUGAACUUAAGCAUAUAAUAAGCGGAGGA
rnacentral:misc_RNA from 1 species